GCACCACAACGGGUGGAGCCUGCGGUUUAAUUUGGACUCAACGCCGGGCAGCUCACCGGAUAAGACAGCUGGAUGAUAGCCGGGCUGAAGACUCUGCUUGACUAGCUGAGAGGAGGUGCAUGGCCGUCGUCAGUUCGUACUGUGAAGCAUCCUGUUAAGUCAGGCAACGAGCGAGACCCACGCCAACAGUUGCCAGCAUGUCCUCCGGGAUGAUGGGGACACCGUUGGGACCGCCUCUGCUAAAGAGGAGGAAGGAAUGGGCAACGGUAGGUCAGCAUGCCCCGAAUUAUCCGGGCUACACGCGGGCUACAAUGGUCAGGACAAUGGGUAUCGACACCGAGAGGUGGAGGCAAUCUCCUAAACCUGUCCUUAGUUCGGAUUGUGGGCUGCAACUCGCCCACAUGAAGCUGGAAUCCGUAGUAAUCGCGUUUCAAAAUAGCGCGGUGAAUAUGUCCCUGCUCCUU
rnacentral:rRNA from 1 species